UAUGAUCGCUCAUGUUUCAUUCCGCGCUGCAAAUACAUGAACUCUUUCUCCUUCCAUCCCCCCUCCGGUCAUUUGUUUCCAUGUGCGUGCACUAUGCAUCUCUCCUUCUCGUUCUAAUAUCAAGUAAAAUUCUCCGGCACCGUGACUCACCUUUGCGAAUGAACCAGCGGUUCAUAAUUCCAUUCGCGCGUAAUGUCGAACG
rnacentral:lncRNA from 1 species